AAUAUUGGGCAAUGGACGAAAGUCUGACCCAGCCAUGCCGCGUGGAGGAUGAAGGUCCUCUGGAUUGUAAACUUCUUUUAUCUGGGAAGAAACCCACGGUUUCCACUGUGGUUGACGGUACCAGAUGAAUAAGCACCGGCUAACUCCUGGCCAGCAGCCGCGGUAAUACGGAGGGUGCAAGCGUUAUCCGGAUUCACUGGGUUUAAAGGGUGUGUAGGCGGGUAUUUAAGUCAGUGGUGAAAUCUCCGGGCUCAACCCGGAAACUGCCGUUGAUACUAUUUAUCUUGAAUCUUGUUGAGGUGGGCGGAAUAUAUCAUGUAGCGGUGAAAUGCUUAGAUAUGAUAUAGAACACCGAUUGCGAAGGCAGCUCACUAAACAAGCAUUGACGCUGAGGCACGAAAGCGUGGGGAUCAAACAGG
rnacentral:rRNA from 1 species